rnacentral:rRNA from 1 species
AGAGUUUGAUCCUGGCUCAGGAUGAACGCUAGCGGCAGGCUUAAUACAUGCAAGUCGAACGGUAAGGUCUCUUCGGAGAUACACGAGUGGCGCACGGGUGCGUAACGCGUAUGCAACCUACCUUUAACUGGGAAAUAGCCCCGAGAAAUCGGGAUUAAUGUCCCAUAUUAUUCUGAGAAUGCAUAUUCUUAGAAUGAAAGCUCCGGCGGUUAUUGAUGGGCAUGCGUGACAUUAGCUAGUUGGUGAGGUAACGGCCCACCAAGGCUACGAUGUCUAGGGGUCCUGAGAGGGUUAACCCCCACACUGGUACUGAGACACGGACCAGACUCCUACGGGAGGCAGCAGUAAGGAAUAUUGGGCAAUGGACGCAAGUCUGACCCAGCCAUGCCGCGUGAAGGAUGAAUGUCCUAUGGAUUGUAAACUUCUUUUAUGCAGGAAAAACAUCCCGGUCGUGAACCGGGACUGAUGGUACUGUAUGAAUAAGCAUCGGCUAACUCCGUGCCAGCAGCCGCGGUAAUACGGAGGAUGCAAGCGUUAUCCGGAUUCAUUGGGUUUAAAGGGUGCGCAGGCGGAAUAAUAAGUCAGUGGUGAAAUCUCCCGGCUCAACCGGGAAACUGCCAUUGAUACUGUUGUUCUUGAGUACAGUUGAAGUGGGCGGAAUGUGUCAUGUAGCGGUGAAAUGCUUAGAUAUGACACAGAACACCGAUAGCGAAGGCAGCUCACUAAGCUGUAACUGACGCUCAUGCACGAAAGCGUGGGGAUCAAACAGGAUUAGAUACCCUGGUAGUCCACGCUGUAAACGAUGAUCACUCGUUGUUAGCGAUAUACUGUCAGCGACUGAGGGAAACCAUUAAGUGAUCCACCUGGGGAGUACGGCGGCAACGUUGAAACUCAAAUGAAUUGACGG